AUGCCUCUGGUCCUGGAAAUUUGGGCUCAUGCUCCUGGCUGCUCAUGCUACUGGUUGAGAGAGGUUGGAGGUCAGUGGUUCUUACCUGGUAUUCGCACAUGUUUGGAAUGCUCUGGGCUUACUUGGAAAGUUUGGAUUCUCAUGAGUUUGCUUGAGUCCAUGACCACUGUCCGCUCUUGCAUGAUUUCUCCUCUCAAUGGGAGACACAGUGCAGGGUACCACACAUGCUCCCUGCCUCCCCGGUGGCGAUUAUCUGUGGGUCGGGUGUAUCUGGACUCUCUAGGGACAGUCUUGGCUGACUUCAAGACAAACUUCUCCCGGACCCCUUCUCCAUCGACAGAGAGCCACCAAGUACCCUCUGUGUGCCAACAUUUCUCGAUCAUCCACUGUGUGCAGGGUAUUUUAGCCAGCGGUGAGCAGAGUGAUAACAAGACCGUGUCGUAUGCAGUAGCUCUAUGCUUAGUGCCGCAUCAAAAGCUCGCCUGGGCCAGUGUGGGCAGGGCCUGCAGAAGAACCCUAGCAUCAUGCUGCUUCUCUCAUUCGCUGUCCCGAACUCUGCUGUCCCCUGCAGCCGUCACAAGGGCUGAGUGGCUGAAUGAGCCCCAUGACUUCUCCUUACAUGAGUUACCUGUGAUUCCAGUCCAAUCCCAAGUUAAGCAACAAAACAAAAGCAAGUGACCUGACCAGCUACUUUCCUCCCCUCCUUCUCCUUCAGGCAUCCAGACAUAUCUAAACAUACUUAGUAUUGUGCCCUGUGCCUUGCCCAGGGGAGGGAGAAGUUUCUAGUGAUUAUGGCUUUCUGUUUGCUGCCUGGUGCUUUUAUAGUACUAGUACUACUUCUACUUCUUCUUCUUCUUCUUCCUCUUCUUCUUCCUCUUCCUCUUCCUCUUCCUCUUCCUCUUCCUCUUCCUCUUCCUCUUCUUCUUCUUCUUCUUCUUCUUCUUCUUCUUCUUCUUCUUCUUCUUCUUCUUCUUCCUCCUCCUCCUCCUCCUCCUCCUCCUCCUUUUCUUUUUUUUUUAACCAAAAUUACAUUUGUUUGGUUGUCAUUGUCAAGUAUAUUUAUUGUGUUUUACAAACAUGAGUGUAUAUAUAUAUGUAUGUAUAUGUAUAAAACCAAACUUAUAUAUAAAAAGUCAAGGCAUGUAUACUAGAUAUUUUAAAGAGUUAUUUAUCAAGGGAAAAAGAUGUGUGUUAUAAAGUAAACAGAGUCUAUAUUUUAUAUAUAAUGUAGAUAGCAAAAAAAAUAGCUUAUAAAUUAUAGAAGGUUUUGGUUUUCUUUUUUAUUAUUAAAGCAAAAAAAGAAAAAGAAAACAAGGACAAUGAAUGCAACUGUUUUUAGUGUUUUUAAGGCCAAACCUACUGUGGGAGGUGACCUUCCCUGCUGGGCCCCUUGGCCAUGCAGUCUGAGCUCCCGACCCGCUGUUACCUCUGCAAUGCUCAGGGGACCGUGUUUAGCAUUGCUCAGCCAGCUGGCCUGCGCCCCUUACAUGUGGCCUUUUGCUGCCCUCUCCAAUUUGCCUUGGUGGGAUAAAGAAGUGAAAGUAGCAAAUAAAGAUUGAAGAGAAGAUACAAUUCCAGCUCUUUGCCUGUUUAUUGGACCCAAGUUCUGUAGCUCAUGAGUUCGGUACCUGGCCAAUCUGUGGGAUCCGAA
rnacentral:lncRNA from 1 species